AGAAUCAACGCUGGCGGCGUACCUAACACAUGCAAGUCGAACGAGAAAGUGGAGCAAUCCAUGAGUAAAGUGGCGCACGGGUGAGUAACACGUGACUAACCUACCCUUGAGUGGGGAAUAACCUAGGGAAACCUGGGCUAAUACCGCAUAACACCUACGGGUCAAAGGAGCAAUUCGCUUAAGGAGGGGGUCGCGGCAGAUUAGUUAGUUGGCAGGGUAAUGGCCUACCAAGACGGUGAUCUGUA
rnacentral:rRNA from 1 species